AACGCGAAGAACCUUACCUGGCCUUGACAUGCACGGAACUUUCCAGAGAUGGAUUGGUGCCUUCGGGAACCGUGACACAGGUGCUGCAUGGCUGCCGUCAGCUCGUGUCGUGAGAUGUUGGGUUAAGUCCCGCAACGAGCGCAACCCUUGCCCCGUGUUGCUAACAGGAGAGCUGAGGACUCUCGGGGGACUGCCGGCGUCAAGCCGGAGGAAGGUGGGGACGACGUCAAGUCAUCAUGGCCCUUACGCCCAGGGCUACACACGUGCUACAAUGGCGAAUACAAAGGGUUGCCAACUCGCAAGAGUGAGCCAAUCCCAUAAAGCUCGUCGUAGUCCGGAUCGGAGUCUGCAACUCGACUCCGUGAAGUCGGAAUCGCUAGUAAUCGCGAAUCAGAAUGUCGCGGUGAACACGUUCCCGGGCCUUGUACACACCG
rnacentral:rRNA from 1 species